rnacentral:rRNA from 1 species
AGUGAACGCUGGCGGUAGGCCUAACACAUGCAAGUCGAACGGCAGCACAGUAAGAGCUUGCUCUUACGGGUGGCGAGUGGCGGACGGGUGAGGAACACAUCGGAAUCUACUUUUUCGUGGGGGAUAACGUAGGGAAACUUACGCUAAUACCGCAUACGACCUACGGGUGAAAGCGGGGGAUCUUCGGACCUUGCGCGAUUGAAUGAGCCGAUGUCGGAUUAGCUAGUUGGCGGGGUAAAGGCCCACCAAGGCGACGAUCCGUAGCUGGUCUGAGAGGAUGAUCAGCCACACUGGAACUGAGACACGGUCCAGACUCCUACGGGAGGCAGCAGUGGGGAAUAUUGGACAAUGGGCGCAAGCCUGAUCCAGCCAUACCGCGUGGGUGAAGAAGGCCUUCGGGUUGUAAAGCCCUUUUGUUGGGAAAGAAAAGCAGCAGGUUAAUACCCCGCUGUUCUGACGGUACCCAAAGAAUAAGCACCGGCUAACUUCGUG